rnacentral:rRNA from 1 species
UAGGGAAUCUUCCGCAAUGGACGCAAGUCUGACGGAGCAACGCCGCGUGAGUGAAGAAGGAUUUCGGUUCGUAAAACUCUGUUGUUAGAGAAGAACAGCGCAUAGAGUAACUGUUAUGCGUGUGACGGUAUCUAACCAGAAAGCCACGGCUAACUACGUGCCAGCAGCCGCGGUAAUACGUAGGUGGCAAGCGUUGUCCGGAUUUAUUGGGCGUAAAGCGAGCGCAGGCGGUCAAUUAAGUCUGAUGUGAAAGCCCCCGGCUCAACCGGGGAGGGUCAUUGGAAACUGGUUGACUUGAGUGCAGAAGAGGAGAGUGGAAUUCCAUGUGUAGCGGUGAAAUGCGUAGAUAUAUGGAGGAACACGAGUGGCGAAGGCGACUCUCUGGUCUGUAACUGACGCUGAGGUUCGAAAGCGUGGGUAGCAAACAGG